UCUCCGUUGGUGAACCAGCGGAGGGAUCAUUACCAGAGUCUUACAACUCCCAACCCUUCUGUGAACCUACCUAUCGUUGCCUCGGCGGACUCGCCCCAGCGACCGGACGGCCCCGCGCCGGCCCGCCACCUGGACCCAGGCGGCCGGCGGGGGCCCCACAACCCUGUUUCCAUCAGUCUCUUUGACUCCGCCGCACGGCAAAAAAAACGAACCAUAACUUACAACAAUGGUUCUUUUGGUUUUGGCAUCGAUGAAGAAAGAACCAGAUAGGAAGCGCAC
rnacentral:misc_RNA from 1 species